rnacentral:rRNA from 1 species
UACGUAGGGUGCAAGCGUUGUCCGGAAUUAUUGGGCGUAAAGAGCUCGUAGGCGGUUUGUUGCGUCGGCUGUGAAAACCCGGGGCUCAACCCCGGGCCUGCAGCCGAUACGGGCAGACUAGAGUGCAGAAGGGGCAACUGGAAUUCUCGGUGUAGCGGUGAAAUGCGUAGAUAUCAAGAGGAACACCUGCGGCGAAGGCGGGUUGCUGGGCUGACACUGACGCUGAUGCGCGAAAGCCAGGGGAGCAAACGGG